rnacentral:rRNA from 1 species
UGAGGAAUAUUGGUCAAUGGGCGGGAGCCUGAACCAGCCAAGCCGCGUGAGGGAAGAAGGCCCUAUGGGUCGUAAACCUCUUUUGUCAGGGAACAAAAGCGAGUAUGUAUACUGGUCUGAGUGUACCUGAAGAAAAACGCAUCGGCUAACUCCGUGCCAGCAGCCGCGGUAAUACGGAGGAUGCGAGCGUUAUCCGGAUUUAUUGGGUUUAAAGGGUGCGUAGGCGGCGGUGCAAGUCAGCGGUAAAAGCCCGGGGCUCAACCCCGGCAGCCGUUGAAACUGCAGUGCUAGAGAAGGCGAGAGGUACGCGGAAUGCGCAGUGUAGCGGUGAAAUGCUUAGAUAUUGCGCAGAACUCCGAUUGCGAAGGCAGCGUACUGGCGCCUGACUGACGCUGAGGCACGAAAGCGUGGGGAUCGAACAGGAUUAGAUACC